rnacentral:misc_RNA from 1 species
AGGUCAUCCACUUCACUGCCACAAAUACACAAAGCUCAAAAUCGUCUUCUGAGUUGCUUGUGCCUCUGUUGUAAUUCUGGACCGAUCUAUAUGGUUGAGACAUAGAAAUGGCAAUUUCUCUCAAUUCUGUUGGGUUCAACUCAAAGGUAAUGCCUUUUCUCUUUACUUCGCUUGUCUCUCAUCUUUCCUCUCAAUUUGCUUACGCUGCCUGACCUCACUUCAACUACUGUUUAAGUUUUGAAUCCUUUUAGUCUCUUUUGGGUUAUUCAUUUUCAGGUGCUUGAACUCUUAAUUUACACUUUCUUUGAUACUUUGCCAGUGUUAGAUGACCUACAAUUUGUGCCUGUUCUUUAUCUGGGUGAAUUUUUGCAGAUGAAUUAAGACACAUUUCAGACUUUAAAAGAAAAGUGAAGCUUUGUUAUCUAACAGUUAUAGUAUUUAGGGCCCUUUUGGCAUUAUUAUUUUAGCUGCUGUUUGAUAACUUAAUAUAAUAUCAGUUAGAUACCAUUAAAAUUGAUUUUGAGUUAAAUUUGACAUAUUUUAGUUAUAAGGACUCUAAACAACUAAAUAGCUUUUGGGACUGCUUUUUCAACGGUACCUAAAAUUGUGCUUUUUCAGAAAGUAGGUUAUAACCAUAAUCUCAAACAAGUCUUUAGUAGUGUGAAGGUAACGUAUUUUUUUUUUCUUUUUUUAAAAACUGUUUAGAAGCUAUUAGGGCUGUUAUUCUAUUGAGCGAUACUAGUGAUGUUUAGACUGAUAAUUGCAUAUAUUUUUGGAUUCUAUGCUCUCCACUUCUUUUGGUUGCAUGAGAAAUUUAAGCAUCCAUGAUUAAAUUCCAGAGAAUUGGCUCUUAAUUGGCUGUAUUGAUUGUGAAAAUGAAGAACAAUUUGUUGACCAUAUUCCUUUUUUAUCCGCCUGUUUAGUUAAUGCAGUGACCUUUGUUUCAUGUUUAGCAAAAUGAAAUUCUAUUUUCAAAUGAUUUGGCUUGUUAUUCUGCAAUAAUGAUAAGGCACAUUUAAGAGAGAGGGGUGGGGUUUUCAGCCAAUUCUUGUAAUAUGGCAAUGUUGAGUUUUCAAUUCAUAAGAUCUAGUCUUUUUGUCCUUGCAUCUUUUGACUGCAAUUCCUCAAUCCUUCUAGGUUUGCCUUCUGUUAAUAUUUUGGGGAUUUAAUUUAAAAUUAUAAUGUUUUAUAUGAUUUUAGGGAAAGAAAUGUAGUACUCUGCAAAAAAUCAUUGUUUUGUUUGUCUCUCUCUCAACAUGAAGAAGCUGUCCCACCAAGAUCAACUCAUAUAACAAACUCUUACUUUUCUGCCUCUUUUUUUUCUCUUUCCCAAAUCAGUAUAACCAUUCUAUUGGUUUGCUGUUAAGAUAACAGAAAGAGGGAGGAGAGUGGUGAAGGGGAGCUUGAACUACUUGACCUGUUGCUUCCACCUCCAUAACAAGUCUAAACCAUAAAUUAUGAGGGGAAUGUUCCUGCUACUGACUAAUGUGCAUGUAAUAUUUAAAGAUGUACACCUGUUUGUUUAAAGCUUAUGUUGUUAGUUCUUUCCUACAGUUCGUCUCCUAUUACAGCUAAUGAAAAAAUGGAAAAAUUGAAACACUAGCAGGCAGCUUGCUCCAUCUUGCAUCAAGUGUACUCAUUACCAGUCAUGCGUUGUUAAGAAAUUUAUGACACUUUUACUAUGUGUUUUCUUCUCUAGCUGUAUAUUGGAAAUUAAUUGUAGUAUUAUAAGAUCAAUUGAUCAUGGUAGGGACAUAGUCUAUGUCUUUGGGCUCAGAAUUAUUGUCCAUAUCAGGCUUCACCACAGAAAAAGUAGGGUAUAUAUCCCUUUCUGUGCUAAUUGCAUGAACCUAGAAUAUAACUUCAGAAUAGUCAACAAAUUGCAACCAUGGUUACUUUUUUCUGAAUUAGGAAUAUGUAAUGUUUUCAAGUGAUCCUGUUUCAUGUCGAUUUUAAUAGUUCAAAGCUCUGUUUCUAUAAAUGAUAGAAGUGAAAAACAUUUAACAAAUAUGUUGGAAUGAAUUUCAAAUCUUUUGACAGGAGAAUUUUACACUUCUUUUUGUCUUUGUUGCAUAUUUGCCACUUAGCAGCUACAAUACUUAUCAUUAAAACAAUAUUAGAAAACCAAGUCUAACUUCCCAGGUGUUAAGAUUAGAGAUCCUAAAAUGUUAUUAAGCCUUAACCUAUUUUGUAUUCUUUAGGUGUAAAUGGGCAAACACAUGGAAAAGACAAAGGCAAUGCGAACGUGAAUAAUGGGGAGUGUAGACUCAGCUUCAUACCAUAUUAGAAAACCUAAGUCUAACCUUAAAACCCAGGUGUUAAGAUUAGAGGUCAUAAAUUGUUCAGAAGCCUCAACUUCUUUUGCAUUUUUUAGAUGUACGAUUUUAAUCUCUAACAAAUAAAAUGUGGUGUAGACGUAUUUAUGCCUAAUGAUUACUUAGAAAAGUGUUUCUUGAUUAAAAGUUGCCAGCUAUGUACCAGCAUGCGUCAAGAUCUUCUCCUCGAGCUUCAUCAUCUAAGACUACCCAAGUCAUUUUCCCCCUGGGAAUGAUUGGUUCAAGGGUUCAUACAAAGGGAAGGGGAAUGUGUCUUUCAGUUGCAGACAGUGAUCGUCUUGCUACGGACACCAGUGAUAAUAGUCCUGGUAGUGCUGAAGGUUCAAUUUCUAAUAAUCAGCUUUCAUCCUUGGAUUCUCCUGGAGGAACUAGCCAGCUCCAAACUAGUGUUGAUAAUGAGCCAGGACCUCAAACCUCUGGAGUUUCUAGUGGUUCCACAAUUCUAUCAGAUGUGAAGCCGGAGAGACGACCUAACUUCCAAUCUACAGCCAAUAGAUCACCUCUAACAGCAAGAGAGAGACUAAAGGCUGCCAGGGUUCUCAGUCGUUAUACGGAAUCAAAGGCAUCAAAAUCAGAAAUGGGCAGCAAAGUACUAGAUGCUCUGAAGGAAAGUGAAAAGGGAAAGAAGAGAUCUGGCCUUCCAGAAGCCCCUACAAACUUGUUUGAUGACAGUGACAGAGGGAUGCCAAAGGAAGGAUGGACAUUUGAGUUUCCAGGAGGUGCUGAUCUAUUUGUGAUAGUGUUUUCAUUUGUUUUCAUCAGCACAGUUAUGUUUGCAACAACUUAUGUUGUCUGGAAAGUUGGUGCAAUCCAUUUCAAUGAGUACUAAGGUGAAGUUCAAAGGGAUUCUGCAUUUUCGGUUACCCAUUAAAGAUCAUACUGUUUUGACGUCAGGCACAUAUGGGGUAGGAUUUUAAAGGUAUUUUAAGACGAGAUACAUGCAUUCAUGUUCAAAAGUUGUUUGGCCCGCAUUUAUGUAUCAAAGAUUUGCAUUUGGGAAUGCCAACAGAUGCCCCCACUUUUGUAUUUCAUUUGUUGGUGAUUAUGGUGCUUAAUCCUUGUUAUAUUACCACAUGUAUAUUUCUCUUUCGUUGAGGCAAAACACAUGCGCACUCGGGGUCAAGGAUAGGAAUGGACUGCUGUCCUUAUUCUUAUAUAACUCAUACACACAAACUUCACAGCAGUCGAUGUGUAAUCCCAAAAGAUUAGCCCAAUGAGCACGCUCCACGUGAGACCUCAACUAUGGACCAAACACAUAUAUAUUGCA